GAUGAAGAACGCAGCGAAAUGCGAUAAGUAAUGCGAAUUGCAGAAUUUCCGUGAGUCAUCGAAUCUUUGAACGCACAUUGCGCCCACUGGUAUUCCGGUGGGCAUGCCUGUUCGAGCGUCAUUAUCCUCCCUCAAACCCCGGGUUUGGUGUUGGACCCAAGUUGUGUGAACAACUGGUCUCAAAGACAAUGACGGCGUCCGUGGGACCCUCGGUGCAACGAGCUUUUAGGAGCACGCAUCGAUUUGCAAGGACCUUCCGGGCCGGUCUCCUUUACCAUUUUACAAGGUUGACCUCGGAUCAGGUAGGAAUACCCGCUGAACUUAAGCAUAUCAAUAAGCGGAGGA
rnacentral:misc_RNA from 1 species